UACGGGGGGGGCAAGCGUUGUUCGGAAUUACUGGGCGUAAAGGGUUUGUAGGUGGCUUGCUAAGUCACACGUGAAAUCCCUCAGCUUAACUGGGGAACUGCGUGUGAAACUGGCGAGCUUGAGGACAGGAGAGGAACGCGGAAUUCCCGGUGUAGUGGUGAAAUGCGUAGAUAUCGGGAGGAACACCAGUGGCGAAGGCGACUUCCUGGCCAGUUCUUGACGCUGAGGCGCGAAAGCGAGGGGAGCAAACGGG
rnacentral:rRNA from 1 species